GGCCCCGUAGUUCAACUGGAUAGAAUAUCAGAUUUCGGCUCUGAGGGUUGGGGGUUCGAAUCCCUUCGGGGUCAC
rnacentral:tRNA from 1 species